rnacentral:rRNA from 1 species
AGAGCGAACGCUGGCGGCAGGCCUAACACAUGCAAGUCGAACGAACUCUUCGGAGUUAGUGGCGCACGGGUGCGUAACGCGUGGGAAUCUGCCCCUUGGUUCGGAAUAACAGUUGGAAACGACUGCUAAUACCGGAUGAUGACGAAAGUCCAAAGAUUUAUCGCCAAGGGAUGAGCCCGCGUAGGAUUAGCUAGUUGGUGAGGUAAAGGCUCACCAAGGCGACGAUCCUUAGCUGGUCUGAGAGGAUGAUCAGCCACACUGGGACUGAGACACGGCCCAGACUCCGUACGGGAGGCAGCAGUAGGGAAUAUUGGACAAGUGGGCGCAAGCCUGAUCCAGCAAUGCCGCGUGAGUGAGUGAAGGCCGUUAGGGUUGUAAAGUCUUACUUUUACCCGAGAUGAUAAUAGAC